UCGAGAAUCUUCCGCAAUGGGCGCAAGCCUGACGGAGCGACGCCGCGUGGAGGAAGAAGGCCUUCGGGUUGUAAACUCCUGUCACGACUUACGAAUGCGCGAGAGGUAACAUCCUCGUGUUGACGAAGGGUCGGAAGGAAGCCACAGCUAACUUCGUGCCAGCAGCUGCGGUAAGACGAAGGUGGCAAGCGUUGUUCGGAUUCACUGGGCAUAAAGGGCGCGUAGGCGGCUCCGAAAGUGGCAUGUGAAAGCCCCCGGCUCAACCGGGGAAGUGCGUGCCAAACUUCGGUUCUUGAGGGCGGUAGGGGGGACUGGAACUCUCGGUGGAGCGGUGAAAUGCGUAGAUAUCGAGAGGAACACCGGUGGCGAAGGCGAGUCCCUGGUCCGCAUCUGACGCUGAGGCGCGAAAGCGUGGGUAGCAAACAGGAUUAGAUACCCCCGUAGUCC
rnacentral:rRNA from 1 species